UCACUGAGAUUCAUUUGACACCCUUCUCUGGACUAAAAACAAUGUCUGUUGUUACAUAUACCACGAAGAAAGCAGAAACAACCCACACUAGAAUACACGGAAUGGACUGUCUUGCAGAGGUAUCCUAGUCAGUGAAUCCACUCCACGGGAGUUUGGGGCUAACUCUGUUCCGAGCCAAUGUGUUGCUUGGACCUGAAGUGUCCCCCACAAACUCACAUGGUGAGUGCGGAACUGUAACCAGGGCUUUUGAGCACUGAGGGGAUCACAGUGACUCUGCUGUCCUCUGUGGGUUAAUCCGUGGGUGAAUGUGUGGAUUCAUGAUUUAUUGACCCCUGGAGAGGCAGUGGAAACACAGGAGGCGGGCUCUUCCGGAGGAAGGGUGCCCUGGUGGAGGGGGAGCCUUCCUUCAAAGGGGAUAGUUUGUCGCCAGACACUGACUCUCUAGCCACUGCCUUUCUUUAUCGGCUGCCAUUUAGAUGAAAAAUUUGUGUCAUUGUAUCCUCCCUUCCCUGGGGUUCCACCUCACCAAGACCUACCAGAAACUACAGAGCAAGCCAUCCUGGCCUGAAGACUCCCGAACUAUGAGCCAAAACAAAUCCUUCUUUACGUGGACACUCUCGGGACCUUAUCACUGUGACAAUGAUCAUGAGUGGCCUUUUCAGAAAUGAGAUGAGAUUACCUUGAUUUUAAGGAGAGCAGGGUCUGAGGUUUCCCUGUGAAAAUGCUGGACGUUCAUCGUACCAAUGGAAACACCAAAACUAAGGUUGGAAAGCAGGGCACAGGCAGGGCGCGAGGAUGACUUUCCAGCCUUCCCCUAGGUCGGCUGUGAGUAGAAGCUACUCCUGCCUGAGUCACCAGGAAGAACUUGUGUCUACCAGACAGGUCCACUGGGACCUGGACAAGGGCAAAGGAGGGUGGUGCUCACUGAACUAUCCAAGAAAUCCGAUUUCACACAAAAGAAAUACACCCUGGUCCACACGUCGGUGAAUUCUAGCCUUAUUUCUAAAACACACGUGAGGAACUCUGCCCUGUGAAUAGGAAGAGUGGACAGCCCAUCACAUUAGAGGUUUAGGCAUUUCCCAUGUGCAAAUCAAAUGAAUUUAAAGUCUGAAGUCCAAUGUCCAUCUUCUCCCCUCAACAUGGAACCACAGCAAGGAAGGGGACCACAGUGCCCAGCGCGAAGGAACUUCGCAGCAGAGACAGGAUCAGAGAUGGAGAGAAAUAAGAUGGAGCUCUUUCUAGUUCUGCAUAAAAGAAGUUUGGAAAUUGCCCCUUUGACUUAACAACUAAAAAAGACCAGACAAAUAAAAACCCGUAUCUUCUCAGAUCCGUAAGACAGCAGAAGGCUCAGAUUGAAGAGGAAUCGAACGACUGCAAAUAGAGAGGCCCCAAGGGUGUGGAGAACCUUCGGAGCAGAGACCAGGGCCGGAAUCCAGUCCGGAACCAGGUACUGGCCCUGUGGUGAAGCAAGCCUAAGACUCCUGCUCAGAAACCAUGGAAACACCAGCUUGAAGUGGCACAUUUCAAGUUCUGAGAGAGUCCAGUGGCCAAGAAUUCUGUAUCUUUUGAAAUUAUUCUCCCAAUGCAAAGGAGAAAUAAAGACAUUUUUGAGAAAAAAAAACCUAAAACCAAUGAAAUUUUUAUCAGAUUUUCCAUACAAGAAGUGUUAAAAGAAAUUAUUUACAAA